UGGAUUGGCGUUCGCUAAUGGAUCAUAGGAAGUACCAACAAGGGCUAUCACCUUUGAAAAAUAGAUCAUUAUGUCAAAAAGUUUAAUUUGCCUCCGUUAAGUGAAUGUCCCACCCAUUCACUGGGCCCAAUUAAUGACAAGCCCACCUGAAGAUAGAGCAUCGAACAAAAUUCCACGGUAUACAAAUUGAUGCGUUUACUAAAACUUUGUACAACUAAAAACAUUUGAAGAUUCUAUUCU